UUAUUAUAUAGAUAAUAAUAUACAGUUAUUUAUGGUUAAUUAUAUAGCCUUUACUAUAUGUCAGACACUAUUCUAAGUGCUUUGCAUGUAUUAUCUCAUAUAUGUCUCAAAAAACCUUUAUUAGAUAGGUACUAUUUUUAUACCCAUUUUAUAGAUGAGGAAAAUGAGGUACAAGAAGUUUAAGUCAUCUACCCAAUGUCCCCGAAGAGUUUGACAGUGUUGGAGCCUACGUUCAAACACUGUAAAUCAGUGCUCGAGUCUAUAUUAUCUCAUUUAAUGCAUAUUGUAUAAUAAUCCCUGCACCGAUGGGGAAGAGAGCAGCAUUUCAGAGGGAACUCCUAGAGAUGGGUGAAAAGUUGAAAGACUGACCAAGAAGAGGAAGACAUUCAUUUAUGUCAAGAAGGGCAGCUCUCUCAGCAGCUCUCACUGCCCUUCUCGUUUGGUUGCACUACUCAUUUCUGUAUCAGCAGUAACCCAUCAGAUCACCUUCAAGCUUAAAGUAAGGCAACCUUUACACAAAAGCGGAAGAACGACAGACUUGAGCUCUACUCCUUGGGAAACAAGUUCUCAGUUUAAAUCUUGGGCUUGGCAGCGUGGCAGGCUACUGGAACAGAUACGUGAGCAACAUGGGGAGAAAGAUGGACCAGAGCAAGAUCAAAACAAAGAGAAAAGGGUAAUGUAGAAGAUGCCCUGUGCCAGCUGUUUAAGAGAAGCACUUGUCAUGCAAGUAUUUUCAAACAACCCACUUUAUGCCAAAUGCAUUGCUAUAGAACAAGAUCUUUGUUGGUGUGCUUUGUGUACGUACACUGGUGGUUGAAUAAACUUAAGUUACAAAGCUUUUAAUACUGUCCAAGUAUUACAUACUCUGCCAAAAGAAUAAAGCCCCUGAAAGAAAGAUUUUGGGGAAGCAGAAAAUUUUCAUCAUUGGAUUCCCCAAGACAAAAAAACAUUUUAAAAAUUAAAGAGAAGAGGAAAAUCUCAUCUUUGAUGUA